UAUGAUUUUUAGAACAUAUUUUUGUACUUGAUUUAUUAAAAUUAAUAAAAUAGAUAUUGUCUUAUCCAUUCAUGUGUAAUGCAUCUGUGAAUCAUCCAAGGAGUUAAUAGAUAAUGAUGCAUAUUCUCAAAAGUUGAGAAUUUGAAACAUGUGUCAUUAUAGAUUAAUUCCUGAAUUGCUUUCGAUCAUUGAAUCAUCAUGAAGAUGGUAAUAGAUCCAUCA
rnacentral:lncRNA from 1 species